rnacentral:lncRNA from 1 species
UCCAUGGAUUAAAUUGUUAGAAUUGACAAUACGAUGAUGAAAGUGAAGAGAGGGUCAAUCUUCAGUGAUUGAAAUUGUGAUCGACCCAUUAUUUUUAUGAACAAAAGGGUAAAGUGCGCCAGAUCGACCCAUUAUUUUUAUUAACAAAAGGGUAAAGUGCGCCGGGUUGUUGAUGAGUGUAGCUGAUAAUGCACUGAGGUGCUUUUAUUUUAAUUCUUGUUAGUGCAGCAUUCUAAUUCUAAUUUAGUCUCUGACUGUUGUAAAACUCGAUCGUUUUAGCGCUCUGAAACCCUAAAUUCAUGGCGGGGUUAACUUUUCAAGGCUUGUAAAGUGUAAGCCAAAAGAGAAUGUAGUGAAAUGUAACAAAAGUAAAAGUAUGAUUGAUUAUAUAAAGUUUUAUCCUAGUAAUAUUUAUUGCCAUGUUGAUUUGAAAAUAAAAGAUGCCAAUGAGGAUUCUGAAAUAUAAUCUAUGAAGAAAACUUGGUCAACAACUUAAAAGCGAGCAGGAAGUGCAAAGGGAAAAGUGUAUAUACUUUUGUUGCAGUGGAAAGUUGAAAGAGCUAUGCUACUGGUACAACCCAUAUUGGGUUGUACAUCCUACAACUGAGUGAUCCAAAGGCUCAUAUUAAGUUGCAUUUGGAAAAAAAAAAAAAAAUGGUGUUAUCCUCACUCCCAUUUUCUGGCCCCUCACUCUUUCCCCCCAUUUUUUUACCUCAAUCGUUUCUGUCGCCUGCGAGCUAGAGAGAGCAAUAUGAGCGAUAGAUCGAGAGAGAGAGAAGAGCUCGAGCGAGAGAGACUGGGGAAAUAUUCUGUCGCCUACGAGUUAUUAUUGCUAGCGGGUCGGGUCGUUGCAUUAGUUAUCCAGUCGAAAAUUUGUGUAUUUAUUUAUUUUUAUGCUUAAUCUAUUAUAACGACCCGACCAGCUAACAACAAUAACUCGUUGGGCCAAACCACCGGCCCAAAAUGCUUAAGCCCAGUUAUUAUCACUAGCGUGUAGGCCUCAUAUCAACCGAUCGAAAUCAGUAUCCUAUCCGAUGUGGGACUAUUGGGGCGUUACAAGCUCCCCCUGUUUAGACCCUGACGUUCUCGUCGGGUCCAAACCAUAUCACAAACAGACAAACCAGGAUCAGAAUUACCAGGCGAUGUGCGAUUCUAGAGGUGGCUCCUACGGGUUCAAAAGGUGGCUCCUACCAAAUCCGUUGGUGUAGCACUUUGUCCCUCAUAGCACUUAGCUCUCACACUUUCGGCUGGUAUUCGGCUCUGAUACCAAUUGCAACAACCCGACCCGCUAACAAUAAUAACUCGUUGGGCCCAAACCACCGGCCCAAAAUGCUUAAGCCCAGUUAUUAUCACUAGCGUGUAGGCCUCACAUAAACCAAUCGAAAUCAGUAUCCUAUCCGAUGUGGGACUAUUGGGGCGUUACAAACUCCCCCUGUUUAGACCAUGACGUUCUCGUCGGGUCCAAACCAUAUCACAGGCAGACAAACCAGGACCAGAAUUACCAGGCGAUAUGAGAUUCUAGAGGUAGCUCCUACGGGUUUAAGAGAUGGCUCCCAUCAAAUCCGUUGGUGUAGUACUUCGUCCCUCAUAGCACUUAGCUCUCACACUUCCGGCUGGUAUUUGGCUCUGAUACCAAUUGCAACAACCCGACCCGCUAGCAAUAAUAACUCGUUGGGCCCAAACCACCGGCCCAAAAUGCUUAAGCCCAGUUAUUAUCACUAGCGUUGUCACGCCCCGCGACCGCUACCAAUUUGGCUCGGCCCGGGCGCGUCGAACAGACGCCGAACGGACAGCACCUCCCCUGUCCGCCCAAGGCUAACAACGAGAUUGUGUACAACAAGUUCCCAGGAAAAUAACUUGAAUACAUACACAAUCAAUAACUACAAUGAGAGCACAAUCAGUGCAAAACGACCAAGAGCAAGAUACAAGUAUAGAACAUACAAGUAAUGAUAAAGAGAGAGUAUCUAUCUAUUACAUUCAUUCAGCCUUUAUAAUACAAUUCGAUUAUACAUUGAACUUCCAAAAUAUAAACAUUAGCUUACAUUCAUUCCAGAAUAUCUCACAUCCUAUACAUCAUCUACUCUCAAAGCAUAAAAGGUGACUCUAAUGCAGAAAUAGGAAAGUAGACUAAUGCAACUAGGGCGCUAAGCCCUUACCGCGAUCCUCGCCGUGUGAACUCGCGCUCGGCCCUGUAGUAAAAUGGGGGUGAGAACUAACUUCCUUAGUUCCCAGUGGGUUCGGCCGCCGACUCCGCCGAUCUCCCCACUAGGUCCAAGUUGGGCACAAGUAGAUAAUCGAUAGAUAGAUAGAUAAGGAAAGCGGUAAAUGACAGAAGUAAAACUACUCUACUAUGCCCAAUCAUAAGUAUAUGAAUGCAUGUCCAAUGAAAUAGGUAAGCAACUAACCUGUUAUCAUGUCCAAAGGUGAAGCUAUUCACUCGUUCAUUUACCUCAUUUACUUGUUCAUUAAUCUCAUGGCUUAUCCGGAGGCUCGCCUACAGCUCACUAGCCAUCUCGACACGUAGGGAGGAUUAACUCGCACUACGAACCCGAGACCGUCUGGCGGGGCCAAAUAGGCAAUCCCUGGCGUGACCAACAUCCGGAGCGCACUACUUGUGUGGGGCUUCCAUCACAAGAUUUAACAGACCGUGAGCAUGAUCCAAUCCUCUAAGCUCGAGGAUACCCUGUCCUCUAGGGUUACAAUCAUCAUAUAGUCCAUAGGUUUCAUAUACACUAUGACUCACAUAUGUCACUCGUUCUUUUGUUUACUAUCAACUAGAUGCCACUCGUUCUUUACAAGUUUCCAAUGCAAUAGCCAAUACAUUACUAAAUUCCCAUCCUCACUUGUCAUCUCAUUAUAGGGUUCCACAUCACAUAUAUAAACCUCAAGCAUGCUAGAUAUAAGUACUAAGCCAAAUACAUUAUUCUACCAAAGAACAUGCAAGGUGUAGAAUCAAACCAUCAUUUAUCACCCUAUAAUGCAAGAUGUCAACAUGUCAAUAUGCAAUUUGAUCAAUAUAAAAACUUAGACAUAAAAGGGAGCCCGAUUGAUUCGGGAUGGACACCACCCACCUUUUAUAGCGUUCCGAUUGCUCGUCGUCACUCGCAAUCGGCCUCCUGCGGCGCACGCCGCACGGCUCGACCCAACUCAAGCGCGACUGCCAAAUGACCUCCUAUCCGCGAUCCGUCUGUUCUGGAGUUUAUUCCCCGACACCACGAUGCUACGGUUCCAUUUCCAUGAUUUUUGGAAGCUUUCGCCGCGAGCUGCGGCAAUCUGUACCUUAACGGCUUCGAUCCUCAAUAUCUUUGUAGCGGCUCGACGGAUUGCCAAACCGUCGCUUCCAACGCGUUCAGU